rnacentral:lncRNA from 10 species
UUGUGUUCCCAGAUUCACAGAAAUCUAAGUUGCCUGUGGAAAUUCCCAGAGUUCUGGGAGCAGCAGCUCUCCCAGUACUGGGGGAACCCCGGCCAGCACAGCACAUCUGGGGUAGAGCCUGAGAAGAGGAGAGGGGAAGUGGGGCGGCCAUCAGCUCUGGAAGUUUUAAAACAGGGGUUCCUCAAAGUCUAGUCAGCCCAGCCCCGACCUCAGUCAGGAUCCCAGAGGCUGGUGAGACAGGAGAGUGCUGAGGACAGACUGGGCUAAGGGACUGAAGGAAGAGCCACACUGCCCUCUGGGAGCUGCGAGGGCUUUGUUUCAAGUCUCCUGCUUUGAAGUCUGAUUUGGUUGAAUAACUCGGUGGUUGCUGAAGCUACUAACCUAGAAGGAUACACACGGUGGAGAGGGUUUGAGGAUGGAUGAUGGCAAACAGAAAUUGGAGGGGGAAGUGGCUGUGAGACAGAGAGUACUCCAAAUGUGGGCCUCAAGCAAGCUGGUAGAGUGGACCAGACCUGCGUAAGAACAUCUGCAUUCUCUGCUGGCUGCUAAUGUUCAAUAACUGUGUGACCACAGGGAUUCUCUCAACCAUUUGGAACCUGUUUCUUCAUUUAUAAAAUGAGACAAUUGACCUACAGGUUUGUUAUUAGGAUUAAAUGAGAAUGUGUGUAAAAUCAUUCUUAAACUCUGAAUCUUUAAUUAAAUUUCUCUCUUUCUCUCUCCCUUCCACCCUCCUUCCAUUCAUCAAACAUUUUGUGCUAUUUCAAGCCAGGCACCAGAGAUAAAGAAGUGGACAGUGACUCUCACUGGGGUUAAUACAGUCAUCAGGGUCUGGUGUCCUAAACUUGGCUUUUCAAUUGAGAAACAUUUAAUCUGCUCAUCAAAGAAAAAGUUUUUGAGCCACUAUCAUAUGCUUGGUUCUAAAAUAGAAACUCUUAAUACUGCAGUUGUUUUCCUCAAGGACCUCAAAGUUCAGGGUGCAGAAAAUAAAACAUAUGAGGGGCAAAGAGAUGAUUAUUUAAUAUUACUAUUUUAAAUAAUUAUUCACAAUGGAACUAAACUGGGCUCAUGGGGGAUCAACAUACCUUAACAAAAUGUCCAGCAGAUUGAGCCAUUGUACCCUUGUCUAAAGCUCCUUACGCCAAGUA